rnacentral:lncRNA from 1 species
GGAAUUGCGUUAGAUCAGUGCCCCUUUAACUUGAGAUGUUACAUGGAAAAAAAUUGUCGUCAAAACUUGUCAUCCUACAAAUUGUAUAUUUGAAAUAGAAAUCUGAAACUGUAGACAGGUGAUGUUACUCCUUAUCAUAUAUUUGAAAUAGAAAUCUGAAACUGUAGACAGGUGAUGUUACUCCUUAUCAUUCAUUCGAAAUAGAAAUCUGAAACUGUAGACAGGUGAUGUUACUCCUUAUCAUAUAUUUGAAAUAGGAGUCUGAAACUGUAGACAGGUGAUGUUACUCCUUAUCAUAUAUUUGAAAUAGAAGUCUGAAACCAAGUAGACAGGUGAUGUUACUCCUUAUCAUAUAUUUGAAAUAGAAAUCUGAAACAGUAGACAGGUGAUGUUACUCCUUAUCAUAUAUUUGAAAUAUAAAUCUGAAACCAAGUAGAAAGGUGAUGUUACUCCUUAUCAUAUAUUUGAAAUAGAAGUCUGAAACUGUAGACAGGUGAUGUUACUCCUUAUCAUAUAUUUGAAAUAGAAAUCUGAGACUGUAGACAGGUGAUGUUACUCCUUAUCAUAUAUUUGAAAUAGAAGUCUGAAACCAAGUAGACAGGUGAUGUUACUCCUUAUCAUAUAUUUGAAAUAGAAAUCUGAAACUGUAGACAGGUGAUGUUACUCCUUAUCAUAUAUUUGAAAUAGAAAUCUGAAACCAAGUAGACAGGUGAUGUUACUCCUUAUCAUAUAUUUGAAAUUUAAAUCUGAAACCAAGUAGACAGGUGAUGUUACUCCUUAUCAUAUAUUUGAAAGAGAAAUCUGAAACUGUAGACAGGUGAUGUUACUCCUUAUCAUAUAUUUGAAAUAGAAAUCUGAAACCAAGUAGACAGGUGAUGUUACUCCUUAUCAUAUAUUUGAAAUAGAAGUCUGAAACUGUAGACAGGUGAUGUUACUCCUUAUCAUAUAUUUGAAAUAGAAGUCUGAAACUGUAGACAGGUGAUGUUACUCCUUAUCAUAUAUUUGAAAUAGAAAUCUGAAACUGUAGACAGGUGAUGUUACUCCUUAUCAUAUAUUUGAAAUAGAAGUCUGAAACCAAGUAGACAGGUGAUGUUACUCCUUAUCAUAUAUUUGAAAUAGAAGUCUGAAACUGUAGACAGGUGAUGUUACUCCUUAUCAUAUAUUUGAAAUUUAAAUCUGAAACCAAGUAGACAGGUGAUGUUACUCCUUAUCAUAUAUUUGAAAUUUAAAUCUGAAACUGUAGACAGGUGAUGUUACUCCUUAUCAUAUAUUUGAAAUUUAAAUCUGAAACCAAGUAGACAGGUGAUGUUACUCCUUAUCAUAUAUUUGAAAUAGAAAUCUGAAACCAAGUAGACAGGUGAUGUUACUCCUUAUCAUAUAUUUGAAAUUUAAAUCUGAAACUGUAGACAGGUGAUGUUACUCCUUAUCAUAUAUUUGAAAUUUAAAUCUGAAACCAAGUAGACAGGUGAUGUUACUCCUUAUCAUAUAUUUGAAAUAGAAAUCUGAAACUGUAGACAGGUGAUGUUACUCCUUAUCAUAUAUUUGAAAUAGAAGUCUGAAACUGUAGACAGGUGAUGUUACUCCUUAUCAUAUAUUUGAAAUAUAAAUCUGAAACUGUAGACAGGUGAUGUUACUCCUUAUCAUUCAUUUGAAAUAGAAAUCUGAAACCAAGUAGACAGGUGAUGUUACUCCUUAUCAUAUAUUUGAAAUAGAAAUCUGAAACCAAGUAGACAGGUGAUGUUACUCCUAAUCAUUCAUUUGAAAUAGAAAUUUGAAACCAAGUAGACAGGUGAUGUUACUCCUAAUCAUUCAUUUGAAAUAGAAAUCUGAAACCAAGUAGACAGGUGAUGUUACUCCUUAUCAUAUAUUUGAAAUAGAAAUCUGAAACCAAGUAGACAGGUGAUGUUACUCCUAAUCAUUCAUUUGAAAUAGAAAUUUGAAACCAAGUAGACAGGUGAU